rnacentral:sRNA from 1 species
AUUCCAUUUGUUUGCACGGACAGAUGAGUCAGUCGCAGCGGCUUGGGGCUCUUAGUGGUUUCAAGGCCAAAGAGAAGCGCAUUCUCGU